GACGAACGCUGGCGGCGUGCUUAACACAUGCAAGUCGAACGGAAAGGCCCUGCUUUUGUUGCGUGCUCGUUUGCCGAACGGGUGAGUAACACGCGAGUAACCUGCACCUGACUUUGGGAUAACUUUAGGAAACUGGGGCUAAUACCGGAUAGGAGAUCCUGAUGCACGGUGGUGGAUGGAAAGUUUCGGCGGUUGGGGAUGGACUCGCGGCUUAUCAGCUUGUUGGUGUGGUUGUGGCUUACCAAGGCUUUGACGGGUAGCCGGCCUAAGAGGGUGACCGGCCACAUUGGGACUGAGAUACGGCCCAGACUCCUACGGGAGGCAGCAGUGGGGAAUAUUGCACAAUGGGCGGAAGCCUGAUGCAGCAACGCCGCGUGCGGGAUGACGGCCUUCGGGUUGUAAACCGCUUUCGCCUGUGACGAAGCGUGAGUGACGGUAAUGGGUAAAGAAGCACCGGCUAACUACGUG
rnacentral:rRNA from 1 species